GAUGAACGCUAGCUACAGGCUUAACACAUGCAAGUCGAGGGGCAGCAUGAACUUAGCUUGCUAAGUUUGAUGGCGACCGGCGCACGGGUGAGUAACACGUAUCCAACCUGCCGAUGACUCGGGGAUAGCCUUUCGAAAGAAAGAUUAAUACCCGAUGGCAUAGUUCUUCCGCAUGGUAGAACUAUUAAAGAAUUUCGGUCAUCGAUGGGGAUGCGUUCCAUUAGGUUGUUGGCGGGGUAACGGCCCACCAAGCCUUCGAUGGAUAGGGGUUCUGAGAGGAAGGUCCCCCACAUUGGAACUGAGACACGGUCCAAACUCCUACGGGAGGCAGCAGUGAGGAAGAUUGGUCAAUGGACGAGAGUCUGAACCAGCCAAGUAGCGUGAAGGAGGACUGCCCUAUGGGUGGUAAACUUCUUUUAUACGGGAAUAAAGUGAGGCACGGGUGCCUUUUUGUAUGUACCGUAUGAAUAAGGAUCGGCUAACUCCGUG
rnacentral:rRNA from 1 species